GAUGAAGAACGUAGCGAAAUGCGAUACGUAAUGUGAAUUGCAAAUUCAGUGAAUCAUCGAGUCUUUGAACGCACAUUGCGCCCCCUGGUAUUCCGGGGUGCAUGCCUGUCCGAGCGUCAUUGCUGCCCUCAAGCACGGCUUGUGUGUUGGGCCCCGUCCUCCGAUCCCGGGGGACGGGCCCGAAAGGCAGCGGCGGCACCGCGUCCGGUCCUCGAGCGUAUGGGGCUUUGUCACCCGCUCUGUAGGCCCGGCCGGCGCUUGCCGAUCAACCCAAAUUUUUUAUCCAGGUUGACCUCGGAUCAGGUAGGGAUACCCGCUGAACUUAAGCAUAUCAAUAAGCGGAGGA
rnacentral:misc_RNA from 1 species